AUUUCCUACGGGAGGCAGCAGUGGGGAAUAUUGGGCAAUGGGCGCAAGCCUGACCCAGCAACGCCGCGUGAAGGAAGAAGGCUUUCGGGUUGUAAACUUCUUUUGUCAGGGACGAAGCAAGUGACGGUACCUGACGAAUAAGCCACGGCUAACUACGUGCCAGCAGCCGCGAUAAUACGUAGGUGGCAAGCGUUAUCCGGAUUUACUGGGUGUAAAGGGCGUGUAGGCGGGGAGGCAAGUCAGAUGUGAAAACCACGGGCUCAACCUGGGGCCUGCAUUUGAAACU
rnacentral:rRNA from 1 species